GGGGGAGGCUGAUCGCAGUUGGAUUUGACUCGUACAUUUAAUUUACUACACAAAGCUUUCCAAGUUCUAGGACGGUCUGCAUCGAAAGUAUUGUUAAGCUUAUUUGUAUAUAAGUACUGUUACAAUUACAAUUGUAUAUACGUACAAUUAACAUUUCUAAAGCGCAAAUUCACAUGCGACUUAAUUAGUGACUAUGAUCAAAUGCGCUUUAUAUCAAGUAUUACGCUUACCUAAUUAUAAAUACAUACUUAGCGUAGACCCAUAGUGGAAAGUAAGCUUUGGC